rnacentral:rRNA from 1 species
GACGAACGCUGGCGGCGUGCCUAAUACAUGCAAGUAGAACGCUGAAGGAGGAGCUUGCUUCUCUGGAUGAGUUGCGAACGGGUGAGUAACGCGUAGGUAACCUGCCUGGUAGCGGGGGAUAACUAUUGGAAACGAUAGCUAAUACCGCAUAAUAUUGACUAUUGCAUGAUAGUCAGUUGAAAGGUGCAACUGCACCACUACCAGAUGGACCUGCGUUGUAUUAGCUAGUUGGUGGGGUAACGGCUCACCAAGGCGGCGAUACAUAGGCGACCUGAGAGGGGGAUCGGACACACUGGGACUGAGACACGGCCCAGACUCCUACGGGAGGCAGCAGUAGGGAAUCUUCGGCAAUGGACGGAAGUCUGACCGAGCAACGCCGCGUGAGUGAAGAAGGUUUUCGGAUCGUAAAGCUCUGUUGUAAGAGAAGAAAGAGUGUGCGAGUGGAAAGCUCACACUGUGACGGUAUCUUACCAGAAAGGGACGGCUAACUACGUG